CUUUGCGCGCGCUUUUCCUGGCAGGGCUGCGUCCCUGUUCUUCCCGGGAGGCUCCUCGCUGCCUGGUCCCGUAGAGGCCCAUGGAGGGAAAGGAAGAUAAGCAUCAUUCCACUUGCCUGUCCUGGUGCAUCAGCAGAACUUCAAAACAAUUUUAUAGAAUAUAUCUCUUUUAUACAUCAAUAUGACGCCAGGAAAACUCCGAAUGAGCCUCUCCGGGGAAAGGAGUUCCUCUGCUGCUGCCCUCAGAGAGUAAUCUUCACCCUAGUAUCAUUAGUCGUCUUAGACCCAACACUUUGUCUCCUCCUCAAAAACUGUGGGUGACUGCCGAUUCAAAAAAGACGCAACUCCUUGGCAUGGCAUCAGUGACCUCCACCUAUGUCCUUGGGCUGCAGGAGCCUUCAGUAAUGGUCAAACAGUGGAAGUCUCCCAAAAAGUCAGAUGAAACCUUGAGAAAAGGAGCCAAGACUAUAAUAGUGGUCCUAUGCCACAGUGCAGGAAGAGAAUGAACAGAGAGAUCGCUGGCUUUUUUUUUUUUUUUUUUGAUGCUUGCACCAUAUCCUAGGUGGUUUCAUGCCAUCUCAUUUUCUCCUUGAAAUAUGUUCACAAUGAGGUGACUGGCUCUGGGGGAAGCCUAUGGCCAUGUUGUAAGGACACUCCAUCAGCCUGGUGGAGAGGUCCACAUGGCAAGGAACUAAGGCCUCCUGCCAACAGCCAACAAAGAACUGAGACCUUCUGCCAAUAGCCAUGAGAAAGUCCUCUUGGAAGAGAAUCAUCCCAUCUCAUUCAAGCCUUCAGAUGACCACGGCAUGGGCAAACUUUGAUUGCAGUCUCAUGAGAGACCCAGAGCCAGAACCAUCCAGUUAAGCUGCUAUCGAAUUCCUGAGCCCAUCUAAAUCGUGUUAAUACCUGUCGUAAACAGAUAACUAACAGAUUAAUAAGCAACUCAUAUACAGGCUUAGCUACAAAUCAUUCCAUACCGUAUUUUACUCAAACUGUUUUUUCCUAGUUUUGCCUUGAAGUGAAUGAAGCUCUAGAAAGCCAAAGGACAGAAGGAGAUAGGACCUCUGAGUCAUCUGGAGGAGUGGUACCCUAGAAAGCCAUCCCUAUCAUGCUAACUCACAAAUUUGGGACUUGUUUGCUAUAGUAGUUAGUGCUACUAAUUCUGUGUAAUAUACUCUCCUUUUUACUUCUCAUAGCAUUUAUUGUUCUCUACCAUAUAUAAUUAUUUGCAUAAAUAUAUUUUUUCAUUUUAGUCUAUUAGGUGCUUAAAAAAACAAACAAACAAGCAAACAAACAAACUACAUUGCCAUGGUUUGACUGUGUCCUCCAGAAGCAUGUGUUGGAAACUGAAUUGCCAUUGUAACAGUAUUAAGAGGUGGGACCUCUCAGAGGUGAGUAGGCCAUGAGGGCUCUGCCUGCAUGAAUGGAUUAAUGCUGUUAUUUCAGGAGUGAGUUUCUUAUAAAAGGACAAGGUAGGCCCCCUUCACACUCUCUCUGUUGCACACUCUCUUGGCCGUCUGCCCUCUGACAUGGGAUGACACAGCAAGAAGGCCCUUCCCAGGUGCAACCCCUCCAUCUUGGACUUCUCAGCUUCUAGAACUGUGAGCCAAAUAUAUUUCAUUUUUUUAUAAAUUACCCAGUCUUUGGUAUUGUUACAGCAGCACAAACCGGACUAAAACACGAAAUGAGAAAUUACAAGAUGCUUGGUGGUAUGUGCUUUGCCAAUGUAUCUCAAUUAAUUCUUGCAAUAACCCUCUACAGUAAAUACUAUUAUUACUCUGAUUUUUCAAAUGUGAAAUAUGAGCCUGGGAGAGGUAAAGUGACUUGCUCAUAGCCCGGAAGAGGCCAAGCUGACAAAUCUGAGGAUUCCUGAAGUCACUUCCUUAGCCAGACUCUAACACACUCCCUCCCAGUUAGCCCUGCAUCUCACACGGUGCCUAACAAAGUGUCUUACACACAGUUGUUGGUUAAUUUGUGCCAGUGACUGCAUGACUAAAUGAAUGAAGAAAUAGCAAUAUGUUAAAAGGGGAAAUGUCAUAAAAGUUCACAAAGAAUCAAAAAAUCCUGUUGCUCUCAAAUAUUUUUUCCUCAUACAAAUGGCCCUUUUUACUUGUAUGUCUCUGAACUUUAGGGUGCUGGUGGCUAGAACACAUAAAGAGAUUCAUUCACUGGAUGGAAAGCAUGCUUAGAGAAUACUAAGAAAUUCUUCAUAAUGUCUACUUUUAGAUCAAGAGCCUCAAGUGCUUCAGGACAUCAAACAAAUUUAGAACUUUUCUGAAAAGCCGAUUCAUUAAGGAAAGCUGCUGAAAUCCACAGGCACCUUUUAAGGAGAGGACAAGGACAUAGCGAUGGGUGCCCUUUCACUAGAAACCUGUGUCCAUUCACAACCAGGCUGGGGAGACUCAGAGCGUGACAAAGCCUUAAUUGUUCUUGCCAGAACAACAUGGUAAUGGAGUGAAAGAGUGGGUGCCCUGUGUACCGAGGAAAAAAGGCAGUAAAUGAGUCCCUGGCAGCACCGCAGCAGGUCAACCUUAACAAAGAUGGGGACGGCACUCUGCCAGAAAGCCAGUCUCAGCAAACUUGCUGAGUUAAAACUACCAGAUUUAAGCUAAAAACAGCGAUAUUUCCAAAAUAUGCAGCCUGUGCACCAUGGGAAAAGGAAGACUAUCCCUACCUGGGGAGUAGCUCACUGCACUCUUGAACUCCUGGGCUCAAGCAAUCCUCC